UGGUGCUGCGCUGGGGCAUCUCGGCAGCUCAGGGAGCAUCUCCUGUUGUGUCUUCUGCUGUCUUCGUGAGUUGGCUCCCGGCCUAUAGUCUGGCUGCCGUGUGCUGCAGGCCCUCAGUGUUUGUGUUGAGGACUUUAAAACACUGGAUACUGCUUCAGGAUGUUAGUGACACAUAAUCCCACAAACAUUGUAUGGGUUUUGCAUGAACUGUGUUUCUGCUUCUCAGGACGAUUCUUCUGGAGCCCAGGAGCCCACGAGGAGGCCUCUGCUUGACCAGAUGGUGGCCUCGAGGGUAAAGGACAGGCAGAGCUAUGCGACUGUCCUCACACAUCCUUGCCCGAAGUCACCAUGCACUACGCACUGCUUGGAGAAUUAAGUCAAAGCUUGGAAAUGAUACCGAAGAUGUGCAGAAACAUCUGGUCCGGGAGACAUCAUGUUUUGUUUUGUUUUAAUUGACUCUGAGGAUCUUUAGGCGAGCCUCAUCACAACCCCAGCUGUCUUACACUUGACUGCCUCUGGUGUUUA